rnacentral:rRNA from 1 species
UACGGAGGGGGCUAGCGUUGUUCGGAAUUACUGGGCGUAAAGCGCGCGUAGGCGGCUUUGUAAGUUAGAGGUGAAAGCCCGGAGCUCAACUUCGGAACUGCCUUUAAGACUGCAUCGCUUGAAUCAUGGAGAGGUCAGUGGAAUUCCGAGUGUAGAGGUGAAAUUCGUAGAUAUUCGGAAGAACACCAGUGGCGAAGGCGACUGACUGGACAUGUAUUGACGCUGAGGUGCGAAAGCGUGGGGAGCAAACAGG